GAUGAACGCUGGCGGCGUGCCUAAUACAUGCAAGUCGAGCGAACAGACGAGGCGCUUGCUCCUCUGACGUUAGCGGCGGACGGGUGAGUAACACGUGGAUAACCUACCUAUAAGACUGGGAUAACUUCGGGAAACCGGAGCUAAUACCGGAUAAUAUAUUGAACCGCAUGGUUCAAUAGUGAAAGACGGUUUUGCUGUCACUUAUAGAUGGAUCCGCGCCGCAUUAGCUAGUUGGUAAGGUAACGGCUUACCAAGGCAACGAUGCGUAGCCGACCUGAGAGGGUGAUCGGCCACACUGGAACGGGGACACGGUCCAGACUCCUACGGGAGGCAGCAGUAGGGAAUCUUACGCAAUGGGCGAAAGCCUGACGGAGCAACGCCGCGUGAGUGAUGAAGGUCUUCGGAUCGUAAAACUCUGUUAUUAGGUAAGAACAAAUGUGUAAGUAACUAUGCACGUCUUGACGGUACCUAAUCAGAAAGCCACGGCUAACUACGUG
rnacentral:rRNA from 1 species